rnacentral:rRNA from 1 species
GUAUAAGAGACAGCAGUCGCCGCGGUAAUACAGAGGGUGCGAGCGUUAAUCGGAUUUACUGGGCGUAAAGCGUGCGUAGGCGGCUUCUUAAGUCGGAUGUGAAAUCCCUGAGCUUAACUUAGGAAUUGCAUUCGAUACUGGGAAGCUAGAGUAUGGGAGAGGAUGGUAGAAUUCCAGGUGUAGCGGUGAAAUGCGUAGAGAUCUGGAGGAAUACCGAUGGCGAAGGCAGCCAUCUGGCCUAAUACUGACGCUGAGGUACGAAAGCAUGGGGAGCAAACAGGAUUAGAUACCCCUGUAGUCCCUGUCUCUUAUAC